UACGUAGGGAGCAAGCGUUGUUCGGAUUUACUGGGCGUAAAGGGCGCGUAGGCGGCAGAUCAAGUCAGCUGUGAAAUCUCCGAGCUUAACUCGGAACUGUCAGCUGAUACUGUUUUGCUAGAGUGCGGAAGGGGCAAUCGGAAUUCUUGGUGUAGCGGUGAAAUGCGUAGAUAUCAAGAGGAACACCGGAGGUGAAGACGGGUUGCUGGGCCGACACUGACGCUGAGUGCGCGAAAGCCAGGGGAGCAAACGGG
rnacentral:rRNA from 1 species